rnacentral:rRNA from 1 species
UGAGGAAUAUUGGUCAAUGGGCGCAAGCCUGAACCAGCCAUGCCGCGUGCAGGAAGAAUGCCCUACGGGUCGUAACCUGCUUUUCUGUGAGGAUAAACCUAGAUUUGCGAAUCUAGCUGAAGGUAUCACAUGAAUAAGGAUCAGCUAACUCCGUGCCAGCAGCCGCGGUAAUACGGAGGAUUCGAGCGUUAUCCGGAUUUAUUGGGUUUAAAGGGUGCGUAGGCGGACUAUUAAGUCAGUGGUGAAAUACAUCAGCUCAACUGAUGCACUGCCAUUGAUACUGGUAGACUAGAAUAUAAAUGGUGCAGGCGGAAUGAAUCAUGUAGAGGUGACAUUCAUAGAUAUGAUUCAGAACACCGAUCGCGAAGGCAGCUUGCAAAGAUAGUAUUGACGCUGAGGCACGAAAGCGUGGGUAGCGAACAGG